rnacentral:rRNA from 1 species
AGAUUUUAAUUGAAUGCUAAGAGAAUGGACAUUCAGAAAAAAACUUUCUUUAAAUUAAAAAUUGAAGUUUUUUUAAUUUGUGCAGAACCAAUUAUUAAUAUUAAGGACAAGAAGACCCUAUGAAUUUAUUAAAUUUUAUUUAACACGUAAUUACUAUAAAUAAAAUUUUGGCUGGGGCGGCUAAAAAAUAUUUCAAACUUUUUUUAAGAUAACAUGAUCCAUUAUUAGUGAUUUUAUGUAAAAUACUCUAGGGAUAACAGCGUUAUAUUUUUUGAUAGAUCAUAUUGACAAAAAAGUUUGCGACCUCGAUGUUGGAUUAGGAUACUUUUUUAAUGCAGAUAUUAAAAAAAGAAGUUUGUUCAACUUUUAAUUUC